UUUAAAAGUAAACAGACCAGUUAUGUGACAAAAUGGGUAAAACCAUGUGUAUUACGCUAAUUUUCUUAAUUAUAAAGAUGCUUUCUUUAACUUUUUGUAUUUGAAGGAUGAGCAUGUCACAGUUKCUUUAAAGUCCGUCCAGUGGUUGGUGAGAUAUUUUGCUAACAGACAGAGACAAUAAUCCCCCGGCUCCGCCUCCAUCGCUCGCUGUCAGAUUAUGACUCAAUCUGAGGAGACGGGUCCAUUAGUCCAGAGUUUCAGACAGUAAGAGGCUCCGCCCCCUUUCUCCUCCUGACUGGGAGGAAGACGUGCAGGAGACGGACAGGAGGAGACAGGGAGGAGAGGCGAAAAAAGCCUCGCAGCAGAGCCCGGUCCGGCUCGGCUCGGCUCGGCUCGGCUCGGUCCAUCCCCGUCCUUCCCGCAGACCCAUCUGGACCCUGUCUGGGUCCGGUGCCGCCUCGUGGCCUCUGACGCUCCUGUUCUCCUCCUGACGCCGAGCGCUCGGGUCUCGACCUUAAACUGCAAAAACACAAACGGUCCAGGUAAGGAGACGUUUUUACACUUUUCUGAUUGUUUAUMUUAAUAAAAACCAUCAUUUCUUUUAUCUAAACAAUACAUUUAAA